GUGUGAGAGCUGAUGGGCGCCCACAGUGGUGGGGUGAUCUGGUGAUCCUCUGCUGCCGAGAAAAGCAUCGACGUGAGGGUGUGUGUUGCCCGUACCCUAUAACCGACACAGGUGGUCAGGUAGAGAAUACUAAGGUGAUCGAGAGAAUCGUGGUUAAGGAACUCGGCAAAAUGCCCCCGUAACUUCGGGAGAAGGGGGGCCAUCCUGGUGAACAACCCUAGCGGUUGGGAGCUGGUGGUGGUCGCAGAGGCCAGAGAGAAGCGACUGUUUAUUAAAAACACAGUCCGUGCGAAGAUGUAAGUCGAUGUAUACGGACUGACGCCUGCCCGGUGCUGGAAGGUUAAGAGGACCCGUUAACCCCUUGGGGUGAAGCGGAGAAUUUAAGCCCCAGUAAACGGCGGUGGUAACUAUAACCAUCCUAAGGUAGCGAAAUUCCUUGUCGGGUAAGUUCCGACCUGCACGAAUGGCGUAACGACUUCUCUGCUGUCUCAACCACGAACUCGGCGAAAUUGCAUUACGAGUAAAGAUGCUCGUUACGCGCAGCAGGACGGAAAGACCCCGAGACCUUCACUAUAGUUUGGUAUUGGUGUUCGGUGUGGUUUGUGUAGGAUAGGUGGGAGAUGUUGAAGCCUGGUCGCCAGAUCGGGUGGAGUCGACAAGUGAAAUACCACUCUGACCAUUCUGGAUUCCUUAACUUCGGACCUGAUCGGGUUCAGGGACAGUGCCUGAUGGGUAGUUUAACUGGGGCGGUUGCCUCCUAAAGAGUAACGGAGGCGCCCAAAGGUUCCCUCAGCCUGGUUGGCAAUCAGGUGUCGAGUGUAAGUGCACAAGGGAGCUUGACUGUGAGACGGACGUGUCGAGCAGGAGCGAAAGCUGGGACUAGUGACCCGGCCAUGGCUUGUGGAAGCGUGGUCGCUCAACGGAUAAAAGGUACCUCGGGGAUAACAGGCUGAUCUUGCCCAAGAGUCCAUAUCGACGGCAUGGUUUGGCACCUCGAUGUCGGCUCGUCGCAUCCUGGGGCUGGAGUCGGUCCCAAGGGUUGGGCUGUUCGCCCAUUAAAGCGGUACGCGAGCUGGGUUUAGAACGUCGUGAGACAGUUCGGUCCCUAUCCGCUGCGUGCGUAGGAAAUUUGUGGAGGGCUGUCCUUAGUACGAGAGGACCGGGACGGACGAACCUCUGGUGUGCCAGUUGUACCGCCAGGUGCAUGGCUGGUUGGCUACGUUCGGGAAGGAUAACCGCUGAAAGCAUCUAAGCGGGAAGCCUGCUCCGAGAUGAGAUUUCCAUCC
rnacentral:rRNA from 1 species